rnacentral:rRNA from 1 species
CCCGCACAAGCGGUGGAGCAUGUGGUUUAAUUCGAUGCAACGCGAAGAACCUUACCUGGUCUUGACAUCCACAGAACUUUCCAGAGAUGGAUUGGUGCCUUCGGGAACUGUGAGACAGGUGCUGCAUGGCUGUCGUCAGCUCGUGUUGUGAAAUGUUGGGUUAAGUCCCGCAACGAGCGCAACCCUUAUCCUUUGUUGCCAGCGGUUAGGCCGGGGAACUCAAAGGAGACUGCCAGUGAUAAACUGGAGGAAGGUGGGGGAUGACGUCAAGUCAUCAUGGCCCCUUACGACCAGGGCUACACACGUGCUACAAUGGCAUAUACAAAGAGAAGCGACCUCGCGAGAGCAAGCGGACCUCAUAAAGUAUGUCGUAGUCCGGA